CAGUAGCCGCGGUAAUACGUAGGGUGCGAGCGUUAAUCGGAAUUACUGGGCGUAAAGCGUGCGCAGGCGGUUGUGUAAGACAGGUGUGAAAUCCCUGGGCUUAACCUGGGAACUGCGCUUGUGACUGCACAGCUAGAGUAUGGCAGAGGGGGGUGGAAUUCCACGUGUAGCAGUGAAAUGCGUAGAGAUGUGGAGGAACACCGAUGGCGAAGGCAGCCCCCUGGGCCAAUACUGACGCUCAUGCACGAAAGCGUGGGGAGCAAACAGGAUUAGAUACCCCCGUAGUCCCUGUCUCUUAUAC
rnacentral:rRNA from 1 species